rnacentral:lncRNA from 1 species
GUGGGUCAUGGGUGAUUUGUUGAAUCAAAUCUGGGAAGUUGGAUAAGUUUGAGAGGCAGCCGCCAAAAUUGGAUAAGAAUAUUUUAGUGUUUCAUUCACAAAUUCUUUGGCUGACAAAGACCAAGUGAAGACAUUGAACGAGUUUCAGAUGGAACGCAUAUGAAGAUUUUUCAAACAGAUUGGGUCGAGUUUAGCAUAUAUACGCUAAUUUUAGAAAACAUUCAACAUGACUAAGUUUCGCAUUUUUGAUAGCUUCAGUAUAUAUUUUCCUCAUUUUGACAAACUUUCAAGAAAACCAUGUUUGCAAACAACUUUCACCAAAUUCAAGUUUGAACUACAUAAAAGUUGCGCAUUUUUCAUAGCCUGGCAACGCCAUAUCAUUUACAUCAAUCCAAAAAACAC